UUUCCGCUCAGUGGAAAACUCAGACAUUUUAUUCUUUACCAGACUUCUUCUGGAGAAGAGGAAGCUUGAAGGAAACCUUGUUGCUCUCUACAACUCCCUGAAAAUUGUUCUGGCAAGGUGGUGAUCAGCCUCUUCUCUCAGGUUCUCUCUGAAGAAACAGUCCUUUUUGCAACACUUUCUUGAUGACUUUGUCAGCAGUGUUCCAGCUGCUUUCACUUUGCAUCAGCAACAGCAUGGACAGAUCAACAAGUGCUGUGGGAAAUGGAUGCAGCUUGCAGCCAGGGAAGGAGCCAUAUUGAGCUCUGGUUACGUCUGGAAAACUUCCAACAAAAGUGCUGAGUAUGCAGAAAAGAGAAUGUGUUCUUCUAAGGAUCCUGGAAAGCGUUUAAGCGUCUUUCUAACAUACCUGGAGAAGCCUGAAAACGUUUUAUUUACCAAGGACUAAGACUGGAGCUCAGCAUAUGGAAGCAGCUGUCACAGGAGAUGACUCUGGAGAAACUCUAUCCAAACAAGAGAAGCAGCAAGGAGGUGACAUUUUGAAGAUAAAUAAGUAAUUAUUUGUGUUGGUUUUGAUGAUGAUGCUUCUUUUGGGGUGUUUGUUUGUUUUUGUUAUUGUAUUGAUGGACAUAUGGUGCAAUUUGUGGACGUUAUCUUCUGCCAAUAGACUUGCACACUGAUGCUAAGAAUAGAUCAGAAUUUCUCCCAGUUCCUGAUUCAAAAAGAAGCGUUACUGUCUAUAACUCAU